rnacentral:rRNA from 1 species
CACGUAGGGUGCGAGCGUUGUCCGGAAUUAUUGGGCGUAAAAGAGCUCGUAGGCGGUGUGUCGCGUCGGCCGUGAAAACCUGCAGCUUAACUGUGGGCGUGCGGGCGAUACGGGCAGACUGGAGUACUGCAGGGGAGACUGGAAUUCCUGGUGUAGCGGUGGAAUGCGCAGAUAUCAGGAGGAACACCGGUGGCGAAGGCGGGUCUCUGGGCAGUAACUGACGCUGAGGAGCGAAAAGCGUGGGGGAGCGAACAGG